GGAGUUAGCCGGUGCUUCUUCUGUGAGUGAUGUCCUUCCUGCCGGUUAUUGACCCGCAGGCCUUCUUCCUCACUGAAAGUGCUUUACAACCCGAAGGCCUUCUUCACACACGCGGCAUGGCUGGAUCAGGGUUGCCCCCAUUGUCCAAUAUUCCCCACUGCUGCCUCCCGUAGGAGUCUGGGCCGUGUCUCAGUCCCAGUGUGGCUGAUCAUCCUCUCAGACCAGCUACGGAUCGUCGCCUUGGUGAGCCGUUACCUCACCAACCAGCUAAUCCGACAUAGGCUCAUCCGAUAGCGCGAGGCCCGAAGGUCCCCCGCUUUCCCCCGUAGGGCGUAUGCGGUAUUAGCCUGGGUUUCCCCAGGUUAUCCCCCACUACCGGGCAGAUUCCUAUGCAUUACUCACCCGUCCGCCGCUCGCCACCAGGGAGCAAGCUCCCCGUGCUGCCGCUCGACUUGCAUGUGUUAGGCCUGCCGCCAGCGUUCAAUCUGAGCCAUGAUCAAACUCU
rnacentral:rRNA from 1 species